GUGAGGAAUUUUGCGCAAUGGGGGCAACCCUGACGCAGCGACGCCGCGUGGAGGACGAAGUCUUUCGGGAUGUAAACUCCUGUCAGUGGGGACGAUAAUGACGGUACCCACAGAGGAAGCACCGGCUAACUCCGUGCCAGCAGCCGCGGUAAGACGGAGGGUGCAAGCGUUGUUCGGAAUUACUGGGCGUAAAGCGUAUGUAGGCGGCAAGUUAAGUUCAAUGUUAAAGCCCACGGCUCAACCGAGGAGAUGCAUUGAAUACUGGCUAGCUAGAGGGUGUUAGAGGAAGACGGAAUUCCCAGUGUAGCGGUGAAAUGCGUAGAUAUUGGGAGGAACAUCGGUAGCGAAAGCGGUCUUCUGGGUCAUACCUGACGCUGAGGUACGAAAGCGUGGGGAGCAAACGGGAUUAGAAACCCUGGUAGUCC
rnacentral:rRNA from 1 species